rnacentral:ncRNA from 1 species
AUUGUCUUCGAGCCCUCCUUCCUAAGGCGAAAGCGAUGGAAUCAGGGCCGCGCCGGGCAACCGGCUAAGGGCUGCAAGGGAAACGGUGCAGCCUUCCUGUUUGAAAAGGAGAC